rnacentral:rRNA from 1 species
UGAGGAAUAUUGGUCAAUGGGCGAGAGCCUGAACCAGCCAAGUAGCGUGCAGGAUGACGGCCCUAUGGGUUGUAAACUGCUUUUGUAUGGGGAUAAAGUCAAUCACGUGUGAUUGUUUGCAGGUACCAUACGAAUAAGGACCGGCUAAUUCCGUGCCAGCAGCCGCGGUAAUACGGAAGGUCCGGGCGUUAUCCGGAUUUAUUGGGUUUAAAGGGAGCGUAGGCUGGAGAUUAAGUGUGUUGUGAAAUGUAGACGCUCAACGUCUGAAUUGCAGCGCAUACUGGUUUCCUUGAGUACGCACAACGUUGGCGGAAUUCGUCGUGUAGCGGUGAAAUGCUUAGAUAUGACGAAGAACUCCGAUUGCGAAGGCAGCUGACGGGAGCGCAACUGACGCUUAAGCUCGAAGGUGCGGGUAUCGAACAGGAUUAGAUACCCUGGUAGUCCGCACAGUAAACGAUGGAUGCCCGCUGUUGGUACCUGGUAUCAGCGGCUAAGCGAAAGCAUUAAGCAUCCCACCUGGGGAGUACGCCGGCAACGGUG